rnacentral:misc_RNA from 1 species
UUUCCGUAGGUGAACCUGCGGAAGGAUCAUUAAUGUGUUUGGGCCUCACGGCUCUUCAUUCCGACGCUGUGCGCCUUCGGGCUACACGCUGAGGGAGCAUAUAUCCACCCCUGUGCACACACACGGUGGCGAGCUGGGUAACGGCUCGCCGCUGAUCUUUACACACGUCUAAAAGUCAUUGUAUGUUUAUUUGAGAUAAAAACACAACUUUCAGCAACGGAUCUCUUGGCUCUC